rnacentral:rRNA from 1 species
AGAGUUUGAUCCUGGCUCAGGACGAACGUUGGCGGCGUGCUUAACACAUGCAAGUCGAGCGGUUGAGAGGUGGGAGGUGAGAGGUUAGAAGUGGGAGAAAGAACGUGGAUAAUCUGCCUGUAAGACAGGGAUAACGCCGGGAAACCGGUGCUAAUACCGGAUAACCUCUUUGGAUCGCAUGAUUUGAAGAGAAAAGGUGGCCUCUUAACAAUGCUACCACUUACAGAUGAAUCCGCGUCCCAUUAGCCAGUUGGUGGGGUAAAGGCCUACCAAAGCGACGAUGGGUAGCCGGCCUGAGAGGGUGACCGGCCACACUGGAACUGAGAUACGGUCCAGACUCCUACGGGAGGCAGCAGUGGGGAAUCUUCCGCAAUGGGCGAAAGCCUGACGGAGCAACGCCGCGUGAGCGAAGAAGGUUUUCGGAUUGUAAAAUGCUGUUUAAAUAAUGGGAAAGAAUGACGGUACAAUAAGAGGAAGCCACGGCUAACUACGUGCCAGCAGCCGCGGUAAUACGUAGGUGGCAAACGUUGUCCGGAAUUACUGGGCGUAAAGGGCGAGUAGGUGGUUUACUAAGUCAAAAGUGAAAACUCCGGGCUCAACUUGGAGACUGCUCCUGAAACUGGUAGACUUGAGUGCAAGAGAGGGAAGUGGAAUUCCUAGUGUAGCGGUGAAAUGCGUAGAUAUUGGGAGGAAUACCGGUGGCGAAGGCGACUUCCUGGCUUGUAACUGACACUGAGGUGCGAAAGCGUGGGGAUCAAACAGGAUUAGAUACCCUGGUAGUCCACGCCGUAAACGAUGGAUACUAGGUGUAGGAGGUAUCGACCCCUUCUGUGCCGGAGUUAACACAAUAAGUAUCCCACCUGGGGAGUACGGCCGCAAGGUUGAAACUCAAAGGAAUUGACGGGGGCCCGCACAAGCAGCGGAGCAUGUGGUUUAAUUCGAAGCAACGCGAAGAACCUUACCAGGACUUGACAUCCAAAGAAUUUCGUUGAAACACGGGAGUGCCCUUCAGCCAGCUGAGGCCGCUUACAAGGUGCUGCAUGGUUGUCGUCAGCUCGUGUCGUGAGAUGUUGGGUUAAGUCCCGCAACGAGCGCAACCCCUGUAUUUAGUUGCUAACGAGUAAUGUCGGGCACUCUAGACAGACUGCCGGUGAUAAACCGGAGGAAGGUGGGGAUGACGUCAAAUCAUCAUGCCCCUUAUGUCCUGGGCUACACACGUGCUACAAUGGCCGGUACAGACGGACGCGAAGCCGCGAGGGGGAAGCGAAUCCCGUAAACCAUGUCUCAGUUCAGAUCGCGGGCUGCAACUCGCCUGCAUGAAGUCGGAAUCGCUAGUAAUCGCAGGUCAGCAUACUGCGGUGAAUACGUUCCCGGGCCUUGUACACACCGCCCGUCACACCACGAAAGUCUGCAACACCCGAAGCCGGUGAGGUAACCCGUAAGGGAGCUAGCCGUCGAAGGUGGGGCCGAUAAUUGGGGUGAAGUCGUAACAAGGUAACC